rnacentral:rRNA from 1 species
CCCGGGCCUUGUACACACCGCCCGUCACACCACGAAAGUUGGCAAUACCCGAAGCCGGUGGCCUAACCCGCAAGGGAGGGAGCCGUCGAAGGUAGGAUUGAUGAUUGGGGUG